GACGAACGCUGGCGGCGGGCUUAACACAUGCAAGUCGAACGGAGUGGCGAACGGGUGAGUAACGCGUAAUCAACCUGCCCUUCAGAGGGGGAUAACAGUUGGAAACGACUGCUAAUACCGCAUACUGAAGGAGGAGAGUGCGUCUGAUUGGCUAGGUGGAGGGGUCACGGCCACCCAAGGCGAGGAUCAGUAGCCGGUGUGAGAGGAUGAACGGCCACAUUGGGAAUUGGACACGGCCCAGACUCCUACGGGAGGCAGCAGUGGGGAAGCUUCCGAAAUGGACGAAAGUCUGACGGAGCAACGCCGCGGGAGUGAUGACGGCCUUCGGGGUGUAAAGCUCUGUUAAUCGGGACGCGGUACCGGAAUAGAAAGCCACGGCUAACUACGUGCCAGCCGCCGCGGUAAUUC
rnacentral:rRNA from 1 species